UUGUUGCAUCUUUCUGUUGCAGUUUCUUAGAAUAUAUUGUUGCUGCAGGAUUGGUUCUGAAAUAGAUGGUCGGAAAGCGUGCAACAUUCUUCAUGCUGCUGGGCCUUCGAAGGUUGUGAUUACUAGCAUCAAUAUAGAAGGCAAUCUUCUUCUCAUUGGCAGUCAUCUGAAAGAUAAG